UGGAUCCAGACUUUGAUUCUGGCUCAGGAUGAACGCUAGCUACAGGCUUAACACAUGCAAGUCGAGGGGCAGCGGGAUUGAAGCUUGCUUCAAUUGCCGGCGACCGGCGCACGGGUGAGUAACGCGUAUCCAACCUUCCGUACACUCAGGGAUAGCCUUUCGAAAGAAAGAUUAAUACCUGAUGGUAUGAUGAGAUUGCAUGAUAGCAUCAUUAAAGAUUUAUCGGUGUACGAUGGGGAUGCGUUCCAUUAGGUAGUAGGCGGGGUAACGGCCCACCUAGCCAACGAUGGAUAGGGGUUCUGAGAGGAAGGUCCCCCACAUUGGAACUGAGACACGGUCCAAACUCCUACGGGAGGCAGCAGUGAGGAAUAUUGGUCAAUGGACGAGAGUCUGAACCAGCCAAGUAGCGUGAAGGAUGAAGGUCCUACGGAUUGUAAACUUCUUUUAUAAGGGAAUAAACCCUCCCACGUGUGGGAGCUUGUAUGUACCUUAUGAAUAAGCAUCGGCUAACUCCGUGCCAGCAGCCGCGGUAAUACGGAGGAUGCGAGCGUUAUCCGGAUUUAUUGGGUUUAAAGGGAGCGCAGACGGGUCGUUAAGUCAGCUGUGAAAGUUUGGGGCUCAACCUUAAAAUUGCAGUUGAUACUGGCGUCCUUGAGUGCGGUUGAGGUGUGCGGAAUUCGUGGUGUAGCGGUGAAAUGCUUAGAUAUCACGAAGAACUCCGAUUGCGAAGGCAGCACACUAAUCCGUAACUGACGUUCAUGCUCGAAAGUGUGGGUAUCAAACAGGAUUAGAUACCCUGGUAGUCCACACGGUAAACGAUGGAUACUCGCUGUUGGCGAUAUACUGUCAGCGGCUUAGCGAAAGCGUUAAGUAUCCCACCUGGGGAGUACGCCGGCAACGGUGCAACUCAAAUGAAUUGACGGA
rnacentral:rRNA from 1 species